UGAGUUUGAUCAUGGCUCAGAUUGAACGCUGGCGGUAGGCUUAACACAUGCAAGUCGUGCGAGAAAGUAUCUUCGGAUAUGAGUAGAGCGGCGGACGGGUGAGUAACGCGUAGGAAUCUACCUAGUAGAAGGGGAUAGCCCGAGGAAACUCGGAUUAAUACCGUAUACCUCCUUAGGGAGAAAGAGGGCCUCUCUUGAUGCUCUCGCUAUUAGAUGAGCCUGCGUAAGAUUAGCUUGUUGGUGAGGUAAUGGCUCACCAAGGCUACGAUCUUUAGCUGGUCUGAGAGGACGAUCAGCCACAUUGGGACUGAGACACGGCCCAGACUCCUACGGGAGGCAGCAGUGGGGAAUAUUGGACAAUGGGCGCAAGCCUGAUCCAGCCAUACCGCGUGUGUGAAGAAGGCCUUCGGGUUGUAAAGCACUUUAAGCCGGGAGAAAAAGUUAUAAGUUAAUACCUUAUAACCGUGAUGUUACCUGCAGAAUAAGCACCGGCUAAUUCCGUGCCAGCAGCCGCGGUAAUACGGAAGGUGCAAGCGUUAAUCGGAAUUACUGGGCGUAAAGCGCGCGUAGGUGGUUUGUUAAGUUGGAUGUGAAAGCC
rnacentral:rRNA from 1 species